AACGAACGCUGGCGGCAUGCCUAACACAUGCAAGUCGAACGAGACCUUCGUGUCUAGUGGCGCACGGGUGCGUAACGCGUGGGAACCUGCCCUUAGGUUCGGAAUAACUCCCCGAAAGGGGUGCUAAUACCGGAUAAUGUCUUCGGACCAAAGAGUUAUGGCCUUUGGAUGGGCCCGCGUUGGAUUAGCUAGUUGGUAGGGUAAAAGCCUACCAAGGCGACGAUCCAUAGCUGGUCUGAGAGGAUGAUCAGCCACACUGGGACUGCGACACGGCCCAGACUCGUACGGGAGGGAGGAGUGGGGAAUAUUAGACGCGGGACGAAAGCCUAACAAAGCAAUGCCGGGGAAGUGAGGAAGGCCUUAGGGUUGUAAAGCUCUUUGACCCGGGAUGAUAAUGACAGUACCGGGAGAAUAAGCUCCGGCUAACUCCGUG
rnacentral:rRNA from 1 species